rnacentral:rRNA from 1 species
AACGAACGCUGGCGGCAUGCCUAACACAUGCAAGUCGAACGAGACCUUCGGGUCUAGUGGCGCACGGGUGCGUAACGCGUGGGAACCUGCCCUUAGGUUCGGAAUAACUCCCCGAAAGGGGUGCUAAUACCGGAUAAUGUCUUCGGACCAAAGAUUUAUCGCCUUUGGAUGGGCCCGCGUUGGAUUAGCUAGUUGGUAGGGUAAAAGCCUACCAAGGCGACGAUCCAUAGCUGGUCUGAGAGGAUGAUCAGCCACACUGGGACUGAGACACGGCCCAGACUCCUACGGGAGGCAGCAGUGGGGAAUAUUGGACAAUGGGCGAAAGCCUGAUCCAGCAAUGCCGCGUGAGAGAUGAAGGCCUUAGGGUUGUAAAGCUCUUUUACCCGGGAUGAUAAUGACAGUACCGGGAGAAUAAGCUCCGGCUAACUCCGUG